rnacentral:rRNA from 1 species
UACGAAGGGUGCAAGCGUUACUCGGAAUUACUGGGCGUAAAGCGUGCGUAGGUGGUUCGUUAAGUCUGUCGUGAAAGCCCCGGGCUCAACCUGGGAAUGGCGAUGGAUACUGGCGAGCUAGAGUGCGGUAGAGGAGGGUGGAAUUCCCGGUGUAGCAGUGAAAUGCGUAGAGAUCGGGAGGAACAUCAGUUGCGAAGGCGGCUCUCUGGACCAGCACUGACACUGAGGCACGAAAGCGUGGGGAGCAAACAGG